CCUAGACAAAGACGGGAGAAAAAAUGUAAUUGGAGAGAAAUGAGAAAGUAUCUCAAAGCGCGCAGAGGCGGUCAGGAGAUAGCGGUGGCGAUGGGGACAGCCGGCGGAAUGACGAGGCUCUCUGCCACUCCGAUGGACUUCUCGCCAGAGCCCUGCUUUAUCACUUUAAAGUGAUAAAUGACAACUAGCAGUGAUCCUCGAGCCUGGAACCACCUGCUGGAUAUUCACAGAUUGGCAAGGAUAAUGAGCCCGUCCCUGGAAGGGGGGACUCUGACGUCAUCGAGCAGACGGCACACUUUAUAAAGCUGGGCUACAGAACAACAGGGUUGAGGACCGGCACCGCCGUCCACGUUGGGAAUCUGGCUCCGUCCGGGGUGGAGACACCGCCCUGCACGCACCUGUGGGGUGUGUUUUGGGAGUUCACCUGAAGAGCUAACCACGCACAUGUGUGACGGACCAGGACUCUCCCUUUCUGGUGGUGGAUGGCUGGAAGCCCCGGGCAUGCCAGGCAAGUGCUGCACCCCUGUGCCAUGGUCCCCACCCCAAGACUUGGUCCUUAGCAGUGACAGUUGUGACCAGAAGCUCAACAGUAGGAAAACUGGCGGAAUCCACCUGGGCCUCUCCCCUCAGGACGUACUGCACCCACCAUCCGUCUUGUCCCACAGGAGAACGUGCCCAGGGUGCAGAGAGGUGU
rnacentral:lncRNA from 1 species